UCUUCUUUUAAACAUUAUUUCAAGUCUAAUAGUAGCUCAAUUCAAUGGCUUCUAAUGCAUUGAUGAGCUGCGGAAUUGCAGCAGUUUCUCCCUCUGUCCUCUCUUCUUCCAAGUCUAAAUUUGCCGUCGCAGUGCCUGUGUGUGUAGGAGCAGCUAAUGGCAAUUCCCGGUUCAGCAUGUCUGCCGAGUGGAUGCCGGGCCAGCCCCGCCCUCCUUACCUUGACGGUUCUGCCCCCGGGUAAUAAUUUACUCCCUCCAAUCCAUUUUCGUAUAUUGUAUACACAUUUUAUACAUAAUUAGGGUAUAUUUUUUGUAUGUAUAUUCGGCUAGGGGCUGUAACUAUUUUUGGCUGAACGGUCAAAUAUGUUUUUUUAAUUGUAUAAUGGAUGGUGAUUUUUUUAUUUUUAUUUUUGUGUAACACAGAGAUUUUGGAUUCGAUCCACUUGGUCUAGGAGAAGUACCAGCGAACUUGGAGAGAUACAAGGAGUCUGAACUCAUUCACUGUAGAUGGGCUAUGCUUGCUGUGGUAAGCUAAGCUCCUAUUUACUUUUUUAUUUAAGUACAAUUUUUUUUUUCAAAACUUGAGACUUUUAAGAAUAUAAUUAGUACAAAUAAUCUUAGCCAAGCCAUAGAGGCUCUUCUUUUGGGGAAAUGGGAAAGGAAAGUUACAGUUUGAAUAAAGUAGUACGUUGCCACGUAUUUGUAUGUUCUAAUUUAUGUGAAUUUGUUUGAGAAAUAUUUUUUUUAGAAUUUGUAAUUCUAAACAAGUUAAAAAAAGUCUAGAGCAUUUAUGCAGUUAUAAAAGCUUGUCAUCAAGUAUAGAAUUAAAAAUUUAAGUUAAAUUAUUUUCAAAUUUAGAAAGAAUCAUUUUUUUUUGGAACAAAUCAAAAAAGAAAGAUUCACGUAAACUGGAAAAGAGGGAGUAAGAGAUAAUUAAUUUGAUUUUCAAAGAAUUAUUAAAUUAAUCUUUGAUGAUGAAUCGACAUUAAUCUAGUCAACUCCCUAAGGUGAUUAACAUAGUAAUCAGUUCUCGAACUGAGCUUGGUAUUACUCAUUUUUUUCUAGAGCAAAUCUAUUUUAUUCUGAUUGAGUUAUAGUAAAAUAAUAUGAUCACUAACUAGAAAUAUUCCAAGUUCAACAUUUGAAAUGUUUGGGAAGAAUCCGUUAAUGUUUUUCGAUCCUAUUAAUUUAAUGAAUUAAUAAGUGAAUUUCUAACAUACAUGUUAUUGUCUGUGCAGCCUGGAAUCCUAGUACCAGAAGCAUUGGGCUUGGGCAACUGGGUAAAGGCCCAAGAAUGGGCUGCCAUUCCCGGAGGGCAAGCUACAUAUUUGGGUCAACCCGUCCCAUGGGGUACUCUUCCCACUAUUUUGGCCAUU
rnacentral:lncRNA from 1 species